UACAGAGGGUGCGAGCGUUGUCCGGAAUCACUGGGCGUAAAGGGCGCGUAGGUGGCUCUAUAAGUCGGGGGUGAAAUGCUGCGGCGUCAACCGCAGCGCUGCCUCCGAGACUGUAGGGCGUCGAGCACGGUAGAGGCCGGAUGGAAUUCCCGGUGUAGCGGUGGAAUGCGUAGAUAUCGGGAGGAACACCAGAGGCGAAGGCGGCGAACUGGACAGCAACUGACACUCAACUGCGAAAGCGUGGGGAGCAAACA
rnacentral:rRNA from 1 species